GGGUGUGUGCGUGUGUGUGUGUGUGUGUGUGUGUGUGUGUAGGAGGAGGGGGCGGUUCCUGGGAGGCAGAGGAUAUAGAAGUAGGAACUCAGGGCUUCAAAACAUUUAAUUAAAAAACAACUGGGUAGUGGUUCGUUAUCUCAGACCUUGGGGUGCAGGGGGAUCGAGGAAUUCAAAGCCAGCCUUCCUGACAAAGCCUGAGCCUAGCUUAGGCUGCAAGAGACCUCGUCUUAAAAAACAAAACAAAACAAACAAACUCAACCCCCCCAAACUAAUCAAAUAACAAAAAGAGGCUGCAGUUGUUUUGCGGUCAGACUCCACUCUCGGGAAGACUGUCUGGUCAGUUCAUGGUCCAGUACCACAGAAACAGACAGGUGCACCCGACCCCAUCGGAUCCAGCGAGUUGUGUCAAGGAUUGAAUCUGGACUCUGCUGGUGUGGAGCAGUUCUGUCAUGUCUCCAGCAGAGGGCGCAUUCUGCAUUCUUCAGAACUCAAGAAGCUCAAGUGUAGCAGACCUGAGAAACUGGGCUACCCUUUGAAGAGGAGAGAUGCAGUCUUUCAGUUCAAUAAUUAAAGGUCUAUUUAAAAAGC